GAUAUUUAGUUUAUAUGUUAGCUGUUUAUUUGUUAUUUGGAAUAAUCAUCUCUAUCAUGAUAUGUUCUUCGGUACGGUGAUUAAUAAAUAUGAGCUGUUCUUACAAUCCAUACUAAGUUCUCUCUACGUACGAAUUUACUUUCGGCUGGUAGUUAAUCAUUAUUUUACCAUGCUUAAUAUUAUAUUAUACACAUUGAGAUGGUUAUUCCGUGUUUUAUUUGUGUAUAACCUAUUAAUUAAAAACCUUAUAAUCAUUAUAGCAAAAUUACUUGGGUAUAUGAUCUAGUUCAAAGUUAUAUAUAUUCUUGUAACACAUAACAAUAUUUAUUGUACAAUAUAAACAUGUAAGUUUAUCUCUAAUAUUUUGUUCAACGCAGUAACUCAAUUAUUAACUGUAAACUUUCAAGUUCAAGUAUCAAAUAUACGUGAAAGGAAAACAUGCAUCAUUUUAUCAAAUCAAAUUAACAAGAGACAACUUCUUUUUUUUUCACUAAGAACUAUUUCGUCUGGUGAAACUCUUUUAAAAAGCAUAUUGGGAUCGGCCGUCCUCACUAGAGGCGUUGUUGUUCUCGUUUGAAGGUGUAAGAGGGGUCAAGUUCAAACCCAACUUAGUAAGUUGACUCGGUGUGUCCGCAAAAACUCAAAUGAAAGAUUAUAAACUCGCUCUUAUCCGCAGUCGCGACUCUUGUUACAAAGGUGGUGGGCAAAGAUAAAAAUGUCAGAGGGGAAGAAACGAGAUACAUCUACGUUUUGGAGAGACACAAACCGAUGAUUUCCCGAGAUGGGCAAAGGUUUUGACGGAGGCAGAAAAUUUGGAGAUACCUGUUAGUCUUGUCCAGUUAAAAGAAAUAAGAAAUUAAAAUAUUAGAAAUAUGGAGCAAUAGUGUAGUUUUCAAGUUUUAAUUUGAGGAAUGGAUACUUUUAAGUUUUUAUUAGUAUUAGGCUAGUUUAUGUGGAAUCAUAUUUUCAUAACCCCAAACUUACACUAGCCUCUUAGAGAGGGACAGAGAUAAAGAGAUAUAUAAUUUAGAGAAAAUAGGCACAAAAAAUAAACGUGGGUCCCAGCAAUAAAAAGGUUACGCGCGCAUAACAACCGAAAACAAUGAAACUCACGCGCGCAGAUUGGCAAAUAAAUUGGGCCAAAUGAGCAAUAUGGGCCUCAAUUUUCGUAAAAACUAUCUAAGCACACUGGGCUAUUCGCAGAAACUCUAAAGGUACCCAACUCAAUACUACCAAAAUACCCAACCCAAUAGUUUAUGUUAAUAUGGCAUGAAAAAAUGUUAUGCGAUGGGAUUAAUUAGAGAUAAUGAAGAUAAAUUGACAGAAAAUAAGAAACAAAAUACCUAAAUCGGAAAUCUUAGUUUCUAAAUCAGAAACCUUAGUUUCCCUUUCGAGAAGAUGAUGAAAUUGAAAGGAAAAUUAUAAGAUGUAGAAGACGACAUCCGUUAGAAUUUAUGAAAACGAGAGAAGAAACAAUAAACUUGUGACUGAACCAACACAAAGAACUUGAUAGAACCUCACCAAAGUGAAUGAAACCGAUUCUAUCAAGGAGAGAAAUAAAUCUAUAUGAGACUGAACCUGAGGAGUAAUACAACACAAUAAGAGUUUUAUAAUCAAGAGAAGGAUCAGAAUCAGUAAUUAGAUUCAUUAUUAAGAGAGAAAUAACAAGAGAACUAGAAAUUGUUCUUUAGUAGAGAAUGAGAAAAGCAAAUGAAUCACUCUUGAAUUACUUAGGAAAGGAAGAAUCCAAGAGUGUAUUUGGCUGCUAUAAGCAGCCCUAAACGUGUUCUUACUUAGUCUACAUUGUGAAUUUAAGACAAGAAUACAAGAGAAAAAUAAGAGAGAAAAUAUCGUGUAAAAUACUUGUGUAUAUUAAGAAGAUUCUUGUGACCAUAUUACAGACAUAUAUAUAGAGAAUUAAACA
rnacentral:lncRNA from 1 species